UAAAAGUUCUCAUCACAGGCAAAAAAAAUUGUAAGUAUGUGUGGGAUGGAUGUUAACUAGACUUAUUGUGGUAGUCAUUUUGCAGUAUAUACAAAAACAUCAUU